rnacentral:rRNA from 1 species
GACGUAGGGCGCGAGCGUUGUCCGGAAUCAUUGGGCGUAAAGAGCGUGUAGGCGGCCCGAUAAGUCCGCUGUGAAAGUCCAGGGCUCAACCCUGGAAUGCCGGUGGAUACUGUCGGGCUCGAAUCCGGAAGAGGUGAGUGGAAUUCCUGGUGUAGCGGUGAAAUGCGCAGAUAUCAGGAGGAACACCAAUGGCGAAGGCAGCUCACUGGGACGGUAUUGACGCUGAGACGCGAAAGCGUGGGGAGCAAACAGG